rnacentral:rRNA from 1 species
CAGCCCGGUAGUUGAAAUGGCUUUCCCUCCAGAGUGGAUCCUGAGUACGGCGGAACACGUGAAAUUCCGUCGGAAUCCGGGAGGACCAUCUCCCAAGGCUAAAUACUCCCUAGUGACCGAUAGUGAACCAGUACCGUGAGGGAAAGGUGAAAAGCACCCCGGAAGGGGAGUGAAACAGUUCCUGAAACCGUGUGCCUACAAGUAGUUAGAGCCCGUUAAUGGGUGAUAGCGUGCCUUUUGUAGAAUGAACCGGCGAGUUACGAUUUGUUGCAAGGUUAAGCGGAAAAAGCGGAGCCGUAGCGAAAGCGAGUCUGAAUAGGGCGCAUAAGUAACAGGUCGUAGACCCGAAACCAGGUGAUCUACCCAUGUCCAGGAUGAAGGUAAGGUAAUACUUACUGGAGGUCCGAACCCACGCACGUUGAAAAGUGCGGGGAUGAGGUGUGGGUAGCGGAGAAAUUCCAAUCGAACUUGGAGAUAGCUGGUUCUCUCCGAAAUAGCUUUAGGGCUAGCCUCGAGGUAAAGAGUCAUGGAGGUAGAGCACUGUUUGGACUAGGGGCCCUUCUCGGGUUACCGAAUUCAGAUAAACUCCGAAUGCCAUGUACUUAUACUCGGGAGUCAGACUGCGAGUGAUAAGAUCCGUAGUCGAAAGGGAAACAGCCCAGACCACCAGUUAAGGUCCCCAAAUAUAUGUUAAGUGGAAAAGGAUGUGGGGUUGCUUAGACAACCAGGAUGUUGGCUUAGAAGCAGCCACCAUUGAAAGAGUGCGUAAUAGCUCACUGGUCGAGUGACCCCGCGCCGAAAAUGUACCGGGGCUAAACAUAUUACCGAAACUGUGGAUGAACCUCUUUAGAGGUUCGUGGUAGGAGAGCGUUCUAAGGGCGGUGAAGUCAGACCGGAAGGACUGGUGGAGCGCUUAGAAGUGAGAAUGCCGGUAUGAGUAGCGAAAGAAGGGUGAGAAUCCCUUCCACCGAAUAUCUAAGGUUUCCUGAGGAAGGCUCGUCCGCUCAGGGUUAGUCGGGACCUAAGCCGAGGCCGAUAGGCGUAGGCGAUGGACAACAGGUAGAGAUUCCUGUACCAGUGCUAAUUGUUUAACCGAUGGGGUGACACAGAAGGAUAGGGAAUCGCACGAAUGGAAAUGUGCGUCCAAGCAGUGAGUGUGAG